GCGGAAGAGAUAAGUGCUGAAAGCAUCUAAGCACGAAACUUGCCCCGAGAUGAGUUCUCCCUGAGACUAUAAGUCUCCUGAAGGAACGUUAAAGACGAUGACGUUGAUAGGCCGGGUGUGUAAGCGCAGCGAUGCGUUGAGCUAACCGGUACUAAUGAACCGUGAGGCUUAACCUUACAACGCCGAAG
rnacentral:rRNA from 1 species